GCGACUGUAGCUCAGUGGUAGAGCAUCGGGUUGUGGUUCCGUGUGUCGGGGGUUCAAUUCCCCUCAGUCGCCCCA
rnacentral:tRNA from 1 species